CCUACGGGUGGCUGCAGUGAGGAAUAUUGGUCAAUGGACGAGAGUCUGAACCAGCCAAGUAGCGUGAAGGAUGACUGCCCUAUGGGUUGUAAACUUCUUUUAUAUGGGAAUAAAAUGUUCCACGUGUGGGAUUUUGUAUGUACCAUAUGAAUAAGGAUCGGCUAACUCCGUGCCAGCAGCCGCGGUAAUACGGAGGAUCCGAGCGUUAUCCGGAUUUAUUGGGUUUAAAGGGAGCGUAGGUGGAUUGUUAAGUCAGUUGUGAAAGUUUGCGGCUCAACCGUAAAAUUGCAGUUGAAACUGGCAGUCUUGAGUGCAGUAGAGGUGGGCGGAAUUCGUGGUGUAGCGGUGAAAUGCUUAGAUAUCACGAAGAACUCCGAUUGCGAAGGCAGUUCACUGGACUGCAACUGACACUGAUGCUCGAAAGUGUGGGUAUCAAACAGGAUUAGAUACCCUUGUAGUC
rnacentral:rRNA from 1 species